rnacentral:rRNA from 1 species
GAUGAACGCUGGCGGCGUGCCUAAUACAUGCAAGUCGAGCGAACAGACGAGGAGCUUGCUCCUCUGACGUUGGCGGCGGACGGGUGAGUAACACGUGGAUAACCUACCUAUAAGACUGGGAUAACUUCGGGAAACCGGAGCUAAUACCGGAUAAUAUAUUGAACCGCAUGGUUCAAUAGUGAAAGACGGUUUUGCUGUCACUUAUAGAUGGAUCCGCGCCGCAUUAGCUAGUUGGUAAGGUAACGGCUUACCAAGGCAACGAUGCGUAGCCGACCCGAGAGGGUGAUCGGCCACACUGGAACUGAGACACGGUCCAGACUCCUACGGGAGGCAGCAGUAGGGAAUCUUCCGCAAUGGGCGAAAGCCUGACGGAGCAACGCCGCGUGAGUGAUGAAGGUCUUCGGAUCGUAAAACUCUGUUAUUAGGGAAGAACAAAUGUGUAAGUAACUAUGCACGUCUUGACGGUACCUAAUCAGAAAGCCACGGCUAACUACGUG